rnacentral:rRNA from 1 species
UACAGAGGUCUCAAGCGUUGUUCGGAUUCAUUGGGCGUAAAGGGUGCGUAGGCGGCGUGGUAAGUCAGAUGUGAAAUCCCGGGGCUCAACCCCGGAACUGCAUCCGAUACUGCCAUGCUAGAGGAUUGGAGAGGUAGCUGGAAUUCUUGGUGUAGCAGUGAAAUGCGUAGAGAUCAAGAGGAACACUCGUGGCGAAAGCGAGCUACUGGACAAUUCCUGACGCUGAGGCUCGAAGGCUAGGGUAGCGAAAGGG